rnacentral:rRNA from 1 species
CUGAAUCAGUGUGUGUGUUAGUGGAAGCGUCUGGAAAGGCGCGCGAUACAGGGUGACAGCCCCGUACACAAAAAUGCACAUGCUGUGAGCUCGAUGAGUAGGGCGGGACACGUGGUAUCCUGUCUGAAUAUGGGGGGACCAUCCUCCAAGGCUAAAUACUCCUGACUGACCGAUAGUGAACCAGUACCGUGAGGGAAAGGCGAAAAGAACCCCGGCGAGGGGAGUGAAAAAGAACCUGAAACCGUGUACGUACAAGCAGUGGGAGCACGCUUAGGCGUGUGACUGCGUACCUUUUGUAUAAUGGGUCAGCGACUUAUAUUCUGUAGCAAGGUUAACCGAAUAGGGGAGCCGAAGGGAAACCGAGUCUUAACUGGGCGUUAAGUUGCAGGGUAUAGACCCGAAACCCGGUGAUCUAGCCAUGGGCAGGUUGAAGGUUGGGUAACACUAACUGGAGGACCGAACCGACUAAUGUUGAAAAAUUAGCGGAUGACUUGUGGCUGGGGGUGAAAGGCCAAUCAAACCGGGAGAUAGCUGGUUCUCCCCGAAAGCUAUUUAGGUAGCGCCUCGUGAAUUCAUCUCCGGGGGUAGAGCACUGUUUCGGCAAGGGGGUCAUCCCGACUUACCAACCCGAUGCAAACUGCGAAUACCGGAGAAUGUUAUCACGGGAGACACACGGCGGGUGCUAACGUCCGUCGUGAAGAGGGAAACAACCCAGACCGCCAGCUAAGGUCCCAAAGUCAUGGUUAAGUGGGAAACGAUGUGGGAAGGCCCAGACAGCCAGGAUGUUGGCUUAGAAGCAGCCAUCAUUUAAAGAAAGCGUAAUAGCUCACUGGUCGAGUCGGCCUGCGCGGAAGAUGUAACGGGGCUAAACCAUGCACCGAAGCUGCGGCAGCGACGCUUAUGCGUUGUUGGGUAGGGGAGCGUUCUGUAAGCCUG